rnacentral:sRNA from 1 species
CGACCGUCGAACACGUGACAGAAUGCUGCCGCGGAGGCGCUUGCCGCCUCCUCGGCCCCGCCGGCCUCCUCCCUCUCGCCCUUCCGGGCGCGUCGGUUGCUGGUCGGAAUACGGCGCGGGAUGACGCCAAGGAACACGGUAAAGCUGAGGCGCCGGCGAGCCGCUCGAGGUCUCCGUCGGUUGCCAAGGCCAACAGAAAAAAUAUGACUCUCGGCAACGGAUAUCUCGGCUCUCGCAUCGAUGAAGAACGCAGCGAAAUGCGAUACGUGGUGUGAAUUGCAGAAUCCCGUGAACCAUCGAGUCUUUGAACGCAAGUUGCGCCCGAGGGACCCUCCCGAGGGCACGCCUGCCUCAUGGGCGUUAGAAGCCCAUCCACGCUCGGUUGCCUGACUAAGGGCAGCGAUGCGGACAUUGGCCCUCCGAACCGCGAGGCGCGGUGGGCCUAAGUGUGCGGCCGUCGUACGUGGCCGGGAGCGGCGAGUGGUGGGCUACUGCGCGCGUCGCCCCGAGCCCCGUACCGACGCAGGGCCCUGUACGACCCCCUAACGAGGAGCAAGCCGCUGCGGCUCCGGCUGCGCGGCGCCUUCGGACCGAUACCCCAUGU